UUUUGCAUAUCAAAAAGCGGAGGAAAAGAAACCAACAGGGAUUGCCCUAGUAACGGCGAGUGAAGCGGCAACAGCUCAAAUUUGAAAUCUGGCCUCUUUUGGGGUCCGAGUUGUAAUUUGCAGAGGGCGCUUUGGAGUCGGCAGCGGUCCAAGUUCCUUGGAACAGGACGUCACAGAGGGUGAGAAUCCCGUACGUGGUCGCUAGCCUUCUCCGUGUAAAGCCCCUUCGACGAGUCGAGUUGUUUGGGAAUGCAGCUCUAAAUGGGAGGUAAAUUUCUUCUAAAGCUAAAUAUUGGCCAGAGACCGAUAGCGCACAAGUAGAGUGAUCGAAAGAUGAAAAGCACUUUGGAAAGAGAGUCAAAAAGCACGUGAAAUUGUUGAAAGGGAAGCGCUUGCAGCCAGACUUGCCUGUAGUUGCUCAUCCGGGCUUUUGCCCGGUGCACUCUUCUAUAGGCAGGCCAGCAUCAGUUUGGGCGGUUGGAUAAAGGUCUCUGUCAUGUACCUCUCUUCGGGGAGAACUUAUAGGGGAGACGCCAUGCAACCAGCUCAGACUGAGGUCCGCGCAUUCGCUAGGAUGCUGGCGUAGUUGCUGCCC
rnacentral:rRNA from 1 species